CGGAGGGAGGCCCCGCCCCAUCACAGGCCCCCAGUGCAGCGGAGGAGGAGGAGGAGGGGGGCACCCCCCGCCGCGGCCCCAGCCCGGUCAACGUGCGGCGCAUGCACGCGGCCGAGCGGCUGAACGAGGCCGUGGGGCGCGCUCGGGGGGGGCGCGGCUGGUGCUGCUCGACCUGCCCCCCCCGCCCCCCCCCCCGGCCCCCCCGGGCCCCCCCCGGCCCCUCGACAACUACCUGGAGUUCCUGGAGGUGCUGACAGAGGGCCUGGGGCCGGUGCUGCUGGUGCGGGGGGGUGACGGGGACGCCCCCGACCCCUGAGCGCACCAGUACGGCCCAGUACGGCCCAGUACGGGCCCAGCGCCGCCAGUACGAUGCCAGCCGGAGACGCAGCUCUUCAAGCACGAUCCCAGUACGGGCCCAGUGCUUCCAGUACGGGCCCAGUGCUCCCAGUAUGGGCCUCAACGCCCCACGUAUGAUGCCAGUCUGGGCCACAGCUCUCCGAGCGUGACCCCAGCAUGGGACCAAACACUCCCAGUAUAGCACCAGUGCUCCCACUAUGAUGCCAGCCUGAGCCACAGCUCUUUGAGCAAGAUCCUAGUAUGGGCUGCCACACUCCCAGUAUGGACCCCGGCCUUGCCAGUAUAGCACCAGUGCUCCCAGUGUGAUGCCAGCCUGAGCCACAGCUGUCUGAGUCAGAUCCCAGUACGGACCCUGGCCUUGCCAGUAUAGCACCAGUGCUCCCAGUGUGAUGCCAGCCUGAGCUACAGUUAAAGUAAGAUCCCAGUAUGAGCCCCCCCGUUCCCAGGACAGGCCCAGUGCUCCCAGUAUAGGGCCCAAGACUGCCAGCGCCCUCCCAGCGCGCCUCCCGUGCGCUCCCAGCGCUCCCACUGCGGGUCCCAGCACUCCCAGUACACGGCUCCAGCAGGGCCGCGCCACUCCCAGCGCACACCACUAAUAAACGGUUUCCUCUCCA